UCCGGUCAGUUGGCUUUGAUCUUCUCCAGCAGUAAAAUGGUGUUGCUGUUGAAGCCGUACAUCAGUGUCCUUCUGCUGCUUCAGUUCAGACAGCAACUAUUGGCUCAAAACAGUGAAGCUAAAGGAGAGAAGGGAGAUCGAGGAGUGCAGGGACCACCAGGUAUUGCAGGACCACAUGGACUCAAAGGAGACAGAGGAGACC